rnacentral:rRNA from 1 species
UGAGUAACCUGCCCUUAACUCUGGGAUAAGCCUGGGAAACUGGGUCUAAUACCGGAUAUGACUCCUCAUCGCAUGGUGGGGGGUGGAAAGCUUUAUUGUGGUUUUGGAUGGACUCGCGGCCUAUCAGCUUGUUGGUGAGGAAAUGGCUCACCAAGGCGACGACGGGUAGCCGGCCUGAGAGGGUGACCGGCCACACUGGGACUGAGACACGGCCCAGACCUCCGUACGGGAGGCAG